rnacentral:rRNA from 1 species
CACUACGGAAUAGUCCCGGGAAACUGGGUUUAAUACCGUAUACGCCCUUCGGGGGAAAGAAUUUCGGUGAGGGAUCGGCCCGCGUUAGAUUAGUUAGUUGGUGGGGUAAUGGCCUACCAAGACUACGAUCUAUAGCUGGUUUGAGAGGAUGAUCAGCAACACUGGGACUGAGACACGGCCCAGACUCCUACGGGAGGCAGCAGUGGGGAAUCUUAGACAAUGGGGGCAACCCUGAUCUAGCGAUGCCGCGUGAGUGAUGAAGGCCUUAGGGUCGUAAAGCUCUUUCGCCUGUGAUGAUAAUGACAGUAGCAGGUAAAGAAACCCCGGCUAACUCCGUGCCAGCAGCCGCGGUAAUACGGAGGGGGUUAGCGUUGUUCGGAAUUACUGGGCGUAAAGCGCACGUAGGCGGAUUAGUCAGUCAGAGGUGAAAUCCCAGGGCUCAACCCUGGAACUGCCUUUGAUACUGCUAGUCUUGAGUUCGAGAGAGGUAAGUGGAAUUCCGAGUGUAGAGGUGAAAUUCGUAGAUAUUCGGAGGAACACCAGUGGCGAAGGCGGCUUACUGGCUCGAUACUGACGCUGAGGUGCGAAAGUGUGGGGA